rnacentral:rRNA from 1 species
CUACGUGCCAGCAGCCGCGGUAAUACGGAGGAUGCGAGCGUUAUCCGGAUUUAUUGGGUUUAAAGGGUGCGUAGGCGGCCUGUUAAGUCAGCGGUGAAAUCUAGGAGCUUAACUCCUAAAUUGCCAUUGAUACUGGCGGGCUUGAGUGUAGAUGAGGUAGGCGGAAUGCGUGGUGUAGCGGUGGAAUGCAUAGAUAUCACGCAGAACUCCGAUUGCGAAGGCAGCUGACGGGAGCGCAACUGACGCUGAAGCUCGAAGGUGCGGGUAUCGAACAGGAUUAGAUACCCUGGUAGUCCGCACAGUAAACGAUGGAUGCCCGCUGUUGGUACCUGGUAUCAGCGGCUAAGCGAAAGCAUUAAGCAUCCCACCUGGGGAGUACGCCGGCAACGGUGAAACUCAAAGGAAUUGACGGGGGCCCGCACAAGCGGAGGAACAUGUGGUUUAAUUCGAUGAUACGCGAGGAACCUUACCCGGGCUUGAA